rnacentral:rRNA from 1 species
AUUGAACGCUGGCGGCAGGCCUAACACAUGCAAGUCGAACGGUAACAGGAAGAAGCUUGCUUCUUUGCUGACGAGUGGCGGACGGGUGAGUAAUGUCUGGGAAACUGCCUGAUGGAGGGGGAUAACUACUGGAAACGGUAGCUAAUACCGCAUAACGUCGCAAGACCAAAGAGGGGGACCUUCAGGCCUCUUGCCAUCGGCUGUGCCCAGAUGGGAUUAGCUAGUAGGUGGGGUAACGGCUCACCUAGGCGACGAUCCCUAGCUGGUCUGAGAGGAUGACCAGCCACACUGGAACUGAGACACGGUCCAGACUCCUACGGGAGGCAGCAGUGGGGAAUAUUGCACAAUGGGCGCAAGCCUGAUGGAGCCAUGCCGCGUGUAUGAAGAAGGCCUUCGGGUUGUAAAGUACUUUCAGCGGGGAGGAAGGUAGUAAAGUUAAUACCUUUGCUCAUUGACGUUACCCGCAGAAGAAGCACCGGCUAACUCCGUG